GCAAGUGUUCCAUAGAAAUGCAACAUACAUAUUUUGGGUUUAAGGGAAUGAACGAGGGACUUAUCUCCCCCAAUUAAUCCCUGAACUCUUUUCAGAAAUGAUUUUAUUGGAGGUUUGCUGCAGGUGGAUCGAUGAGCUAACUGCAAAUGAAAUUUCGAAAGGAGACUUUGAAGGGACCUAAUAAGUGCCUCCCUAUUGAUCCAAGAGGUUGAUCUCUUGUUGUGAUUGAUGAAUUUUGAUCUUAUAUACAUGUUUUCGCUGAUCACUCAUAGUUAUUCAUCUUUAACUUUUGAAUAUGUGCAGUCAUAUCAGAUACACAUGAAUCUAUAUUUUCCUUAUUGUUGUUAGCUAUUUUGAGUUUCACGCCUUAAGAAGUUGAUAAGAAGGGUAGGCUGUUUGAUUAGUUUUUUCUCACUGCUUCGCCGUUAAGUUCCAUAGUUAAGAUUGGAUUACUAUGUGCAGUCAUAUCAGACACACACAUAUGAAUCUUUAUUUUCCUUGUUGGUGUUAACUAUUUGAGUUUCACGCCUUAAGAAAAAAAUUGAUCAGAAGAGUAGGCUUUUUAAUUAGUUUUUCUCACUGCUUCGCCGUUAAGUUCCAUAGUCAAGACUGGAUUGCUGUAUCGGAUAAAACUAAUUUGCUUGCCAGAAUAUAAUCGAUAUCGCUUUCACCUGCAGCUGGGGACAGCAAAUGACAAAUAUAUGAAGGGUCUUUUUUUGCUCAAGCAAGGCCAUGGCGGAUAUAUAAAUUAAAUUUAUAUUCUUCUUGCUUUCUGCUUGGAUCUGCCUCCAUCCCUACCUGGGGCCUGUGCAUGACUGAGACAGAAAGCUUCAUUAACUGUGGAUCACAGAAGGCCUGUUCUUGAUCUGAUCAUCUUUCCCCCGUGUUGUCCAAUGUCCAUCACGUUGGCUUGUUCCUCUUUAAAAUGAGUGAAAGUUAAAGCGUCUUAAAGGCUUAAGCUUUUACAAUGAGUCAGUCUUGACAGAGACAUGUGGAUUUUAUAACUUCUUUUACUUUCAUUGAUACCAUUCAUUCUCGAUAAUUCAUACCAAAUACAGCUCCACGCCCCAUGGGAAAAAAAUUAUUACUUUUAAAUUGAUGUUGUCAAUUUCAAAAUCAAUCGAGCAAAAGCUCCAUUAAUAUGUUUAUAAUACACAUUUCCCACGAUUCCCAA